rnacentral:rRNA from 1 species
GAUGAACGCUGGCGGCGUGCCUAAUACAUGCAAGUCGAGCGAACGGACGAGAAGCUUGCUUUUCUGAUGUUAGCGGCGGACGGGUGAGUAACACGUGGAUAACCUACCUAUAAGACUGGGAUAACUUCGGGAAACCGGAGCUAAUACCGGAUAAUAUUUUGAACCGCAUGGUUCAAAAGUGAAAGACGGUCUUGCUGUCACUUAUAGAUGGAUCCGCGCUGCAUUAGCUAGUUGGUAAGGUAACGGCUUACCAAGGCAACGAUGCAUAGCCGACCUGAGAGGGUGAUCGGCCACCCUGGAACUGAGACACGGUCCAGACUCUACGGGAGGCAGCAGUAGGGAAUCUUCCGCAAUGGGCGAAAGCCUGACGGAGCAACGCCGCGUGAGUGAUGAAGGUCUUCGGAUCGUAAAACUCUGUUAUUAGGGAAGAACAUAUGUGUAAGUAACUGUGCACAUCUUGACGGUACCUAAUCAGAAAGCCACGGCUAACUACGUG